GCCUUGGAUCUCUGUAGAGGAAAUUGGGUGUUCCAUUUAUAUGCUUGUUUUAAGAGCGUCUAGCUGCUCAGUCGAGACCUCAGCGUCUCCUUGUGCUAAGUGCAAGGAGUCCGGCACUUACUAGCUUCAUGCCCAGUGUCUGGACUGGUGCCAGCCCACACCGAGCAUCCCUAGAAACAUCCAGACUUCUAAACACCAGCUGACAGCAUGCCUCCGCAGUCGGCGGAGCCACGAGAGGAAACAGCUUCCCACCUCCUCGGAUCCAAGAAGAACCAAAUUAAGGUCCUGAUUUGUCCAGCCAACUCAAGUCCACAGAGUUCACAUCCACCUGCACUGCCUACCCAGAUGGCCGACACGCGCCUUGCUCCCACCGCAGGUUCCUACUGGCUGUUUCCGUGUGACUCAGUCCCAGUCCAGAUGACACCCCUUUGCAGAGCACAGACCUCAAAGCUGGUGGCCUUUCUUGUCUAUCUGUACACGGGCAUCCUUCCCGGGAGAUGUUCUGGGUAAGCUCUGGACCGGCCCGCACGUGCGCACCGGGAGCUCGUGACCCCUCCCUUGCUUCAUUCUGAGAGUGGCUAGGGCUCUUGCUGAGCCACCUCUCGUUGUACUCAGACCCUGGUUAGAAGUCACCAGCCCAGUGUGGGGUAGGCCUGCUGGGUGGUACAGCGUGAAGGGUUUCAGGUGAAAGGUAGAGCAAUUCCGACUCUGCUGCUUACACUCUGCGUGGCUUAGACACACCACUUAUAUUCCAGAUGCCUGCUGCCCCUCCACACAGACCACAGCCUUGUCAAGAGCUAGUGACUAUUAGGCUUCCUGGGUCACAGCACCUGAUCUUGCUCCGGUUCUGAUGUUCUUAUACUGCCAUGGAUGAAAAGAGAUAAGCCUUUGGGGGAAGAAUUAUAGCAAGUCUUCAAUCCCAAUGAAAAGGGCCUAAGAGAUCUAGGAGUACACCAUGGACCCCACAUUUAGAAAACAGAGAAGUCCGCAUCCAGUUUGAUACAAUACAAUACAAUACAAUACAAUACGAUAAAAUAAAAUAAAAUAAAAGCUACCAGGACAUAGAACACCUGAUCCUACACAAGCAAGAUAUACAAAUGAGGCCUAGCCUAUCCCACCAGGAUGCUGGCCUUGCCUUGUGCCUGGAGCUGGUACCCACAGUGGCCCAUUCCACAGGAUGCUGGCCGUGCCUUGUGCCUGGAGCUGGUACCCACAGUGACCCAUUCUACAGGAUGCUGGCCGUGCCUUGUGCCUGGAGCUGGUACCCACAGUGGCCCAUUCCACAGGAUGCUGGCCGUGCCUUGUGCCUACAGUCGCACCUGUUCUUUCCCUCAGUGGCUCUAUGCUACAUUUUGGUUAUGAUGCAGUAAUGUCUCCAGCCCAGGGACCUGCCACAAGGGUGGCACAUGGCUAUAGAGAUAUGAUAAGAUAAAAACAAGGACCGUGGCCAUCCUAUGAGCCAGGACAAAGAGGAAUGCAGGAACGAACUUAAGGCUACAGAAUGACCCACAGUAGC